rnacentral:lncRNA from 1 species
CAAUGAAGACUUGUGAGUGAUCCCGCUAGAUGUGUUUUUGUCUUUUUGACACAUUCCCCAUUUCCAUUUAAUUUCCUAUUUUUUAGAAACACGCCUGGUGUAUUUGCAAGAAGCAGGACCUGCUUACACUUCCGAAGCACUUGAGGUCGCCCCAGUUUUUGUGUCCGUUUUUCUCGUUUGUUUUGAAGAUACGAUGUUGAAUGACCUUGAAUGUGUGUUUAAUCUGUUCCCGUGUUUGCUUUUUGUCUAUCGAUACUCUGUAGUCCAGUUGUUUCUUUUACCUGCAUAAGAUUAUUUACGAUCUAAAAUGUUUGUACAGCUUUGCAAUAAUUUUGGUGUUUGUUUUUUCUUCUCUUUUGCACAUAGUACAGACA